UCGUGAUCAUCAUCAAUCAAAAACAGAUCAUUAGAUUUUUCAUUUGAUUGAAGUUUCUGAUCUGCAAAUGUUUCGUCCAAGGGGGAUAGACCAGUAGACUCUUUCCCGGUGCAGUCAGGCCCUGCAUUAAUUUCUGGGAAAAGGGCAGGUUUGCUGCUUUCAGUAGCACAAACAUGGGGGCAAACUGGAGAGCUCCUAUUGAGACACUUAUGGCACUUAAACCCGAUGAGCUUUUCAACUUUAACAGCAUUGAGAUCAAAAGCAUCUCCAUGAAACCAAUCUGUAGAUUGUGAAAAACAUAAUUUAAUAGUAAACUAGUUAUACUCAAUAAAUUUGAAUGACUCUUCCCUGAGCUGGUUGUGCCAAAUGUGAGACAUGCAUACAGAACUUCUAUUAAAAAACGAAACCAUCAUCUAUCAAGAAUUUUAAGGGUAUUCUCAUACAGGCAAGGACUAAAAACUAUUUUUCUCAGCCAGCAGUUAAUUCAAGAUGGAGGAAAUAUUCAUCUUCCGCAGCGUAUGUGUUUUCAUUUAGUAGUGGUAGAGAUGAAUCAAGUGUAAAGAUAGUUACCUCCACAAAUUUCACAAGAGACAUAAUUAAGAUGAGAUUUGAAUUCUAGUUCACCACAGAGACUGCAUUUCGGAGUACAUGCGACGGAAGGCGACUCUCCAGAAAGGACAAGAAGCAAUUUACUUCUAAAAAGCAUCACCCUUUCAUCGUUUAGCCUUCUUGACAAUCGAAGGCCAUUCAACCAGUAACCAUAACUGAUCUGGGUUCUCUUCUUCUGCCAACAACUAUUUUUUGGCUUCUUCAGUUUGUCUUGCUUCUUCAAUCUUUCUUUUUUUGAUUUAGCUUGUUUCCGUUUCUUCUGUUUUUUCUCAGUACAGAUCUCACGUGCAGACUGCAUUCAUUUUCAAGCACAAUUUUUCAUCAAAAGCUGGUGGCAAGAGUUGAACCAUGGUCUUUUGCCAUGCUCUGAUACUAUUUUGAACCAUCUAAUCUAAAAACUUAAACUGUUAAAGAAAGACUAAAUGUAUUCAUUUAAAUCAUUUUCUCUUCAGCACCAGAUAUGGCAAUAAUGACUCAUCAAAAUAAGCAUGAGUAUAUUUGAAGAAGAAUAGGAGCAACAAAUUAAUUCUUUGCUCACUCUAAAUUGAAGUGAAUCAUUUGAAUGAAGCUUUUAAAUGUACCCAGCAGACCUCCUUGCAUGUCUUUUAUGGAAAAAGCCUGAAAAUCCAUACAAGUAUAGUUGAUAUUUGUUAGUGCCUUUUAGAAGUUACUAUAUCCACUAUCUCAAAUUAAAAACUAGUUCAAUCCACAAAGAUACAAAUUCAUCUGUAACCCUGAUUUAUAUCCUUAGUUUACUAUUUCCUGAUAUCUAUUUUCUCUCCCAUCAUAAAUGGCAUCACCUGAAUACCAAAAAUUGUUUAUGGGGACAACUAGGAUAAGUCGGAAAGAGUUCUACUGACUACAGAUUACAGAAGGGUACUGUUGUUUAUCAAACCAUUCUUCAAAUGGUCAUGCAUCAAUGAUGCAAACUUGGCUUCUUCCCAUGGUCAGCUUCCAGCAAGGUCUUCUGUUGGUACCAAUUCAUCAGUGGGCCUUCCUUCCUCGCCGAAGUUAACACCUGCUGUUUUCCCCUCUGAAGUAAUAGUUGAAAGUCCUAUUUUUUGUUCACUUGCCUGAAUCUGGUUUGAAUGUAGAAUUGACACUGAUGAAUACUUCUCGUGAUCAUCAUCAAUCAAAAACAGAUCAUUAGAUUUUUCAUUUGAUUGAAGUUUCUGAUCUGCAAAUGUUUCGUCCAAGGGGGAUAGACCAGUAGACUCUUUCCCGGUGCAGUCAGGCCCUGCAUUAAUUUCUGGGAAAAGGGCAGGUUUGCUGCUUUCAGUAGCACAAACAUGGGGGCAAACUGGAGAGCUCCUAUUGAGACACUUAUGGCACUUAAACCCGAUGAGCUUUUCAACUUUAACAGCUUUGAGAUCAAAAGCAUCUCCAUGAAACCAAUCUGCAGAUUGUGAAAAACAUAAUUUAAUAGUAAACUAGUUAUACUCAAUAAAUUUGAAUGACUCUUCCCUGAGCUGGUUGUGCCAAAUGUGAGUCAUGCAUACAGAACUUCUAUUAAAAAACGAAACCAUCAUCUAUCAAGAAUUUUAAGGGUAUUCUUUUACAGGCAAGGACUAAAAACUAUUUUUCUCAGCCAGCAGUUAAUUCAAGAUGGAGGAAAUAUUCAUCUUCCGCAGCGUAUGUGUUUUCAUUUAGUAGUGGUAGAGAUGAAUCAAGUGUAAAG
rnacentral:lncRNA from 1 species